UACGUAGGGUGCAAGCGUUAUCCGGAAUUAUUGGGCGUAAAGAGCUCGUAGGCGGUUUGUCGCGUCUGCUGUGAAAACUGGAGGCUCAACCUCCAGCCUGCAGUGGGUACGGGCAGACUAGAGUGCGGUAGGGGAGAUUGGAAUUCCUGGUGUAGCGGUGGAAUGCGCAGAUAUCAGGAGGAACACCGAUUGCGAAGGCAGCUCGCUGGGACGUAACUGACGCUGAGACGCGAAAGCGUGGGGAGCAAACAGG
rnacentral:rRNA from 1 species